AGUCUUUCCAUUGUUUAUUAGGUCUAUCCUGUCUCUCUGUUGGGUGUUUUUUUUCUUUUUUCCCUCUCAUUCGUGAUGAAGAUAUGGAAUUCCUUGCUUGUUCUUUGUUUCUGAGAAAUCAAUAUUCAAUUAUUAGUUAUAUUUUAAAUUGAUAUGCGGAAGUUUAUGCUAUCAUCAGGCAUUCUUUUAAUAACUGCUUUAUUUUCAUCGCAGCACAGUGCGCACCAUGAAAUUUAGAGAGACAUUAUGUUUGUUGUAUUAUUCAUGUAUUGUCAACGGAGAAAUAGUGAUGUAAUAAAAAUUGUUGUCUCACCUGCUUGGU
rnacentral:misc_RNA from 1 species